rnacentral:rRNA from 1 species
UCUGCCGUGGGCGUUGGAAAUUUGAAGGGGGCUGCUCCUAGUACGAGAGGACCGGAGUGGACGAACCUCUGGUGUACCGGUUGUCACGCCAGUGGCAUUGCCGGGUAGCUAAGUUCGGAAGAGAUAACCGCUGAAAGCAUCUAAGCGGGAAACUUGCCUUGAGAUGAGAUUUCCCAGAGCCUUGAGCUCUUUGAAGGGUCGUUCGAGACCAGGACGUUGAUAGGCUGGGUGUGGAAGUGCAGUAAUGCAUUAAGCUAACCAGUACUAAUUGCCCGUACGGCUUGUCCC